rnacentral:rRNA from 1 species
GGAUGAACGCUGGCGGCGUGCCUAAUACAUGCAAGUCGAGCGAACGGACGAGAAGCUUGCUUCUCUGAUGUUAGCGGCGGACGGGUGAGUAACACGUGGAUAACCUACCUAUAAGACUGGGAUAACUUCGGGAAACCGUAGCUAAUACCGGAUAAUAUUUUGAACCGCAUGGUUCAAAAGUGAAAGACGGUCUUGCUGUCACUUAUAGAUGGAUCCGCGCUGCAUUAGCUAGUUGGUAAGGUAACGGCUUACCAAGGCAACGAUGCAUAGCCGACCUGAGAGGGUGAUCGGCCACACUGGAACUGAGACACGGUCCAGACUCCUACGGGAGGCAGCAGUAGGGAAUCUUCCGCAAUGGUCGAAAGCCUGACGGAGCAACGCCGCGUGAGUGAUGAAGGUCUUCGGAUCGUAAAACUCUGUUAUUAGGGAAGAACAUAUGUGUAAGUAACUGUGCACAUCUUGACGGUACCUAAUCAGAAAGCCACGGCUAACUACGUG